rnacentral:rRNA from 1 species
GACGAACGCUGGCGGCGUGCCUAAUACAUGCAAGUAGAACGCUGAAGGAGGAGCUUGCUUCUCUGGAUGAGUUGCGAACGGGUGAGUAACGCGUAGGUAACCUGCCUGGUAGCGGGGGAUAACUAUUGGAAACGAUAGCUAAUACCGCAUAAGAGUAGAUGUUGCAUGACAUUUGCUUAAAAGGUGCAAUUGCAUCACUACCAGAUGGACCUGCGUUGUAUUAGCUAGUUGGUGGGGUAACGGCUCACCAAGGCGACGAUACAUAGCCGACCUGAGAGGGUGAUCGGCCACACUGGGACUGAGGCACGGCCCAGACUCCUACGGGAGGCAGCAGUAGGGAAUCUUCGGCAAUGGACGGAAGUCUGACCGAGCAACGCCGCGUGAGUGAAGAAGGGUUUCGGAUCGUAAAGCUCUGUUGUAAGAGAAGAACGAGUGUGAGAGUGGAAAGUUCACACUGUGACGGUAUCUUACCAGAAAGGGACGGCUAACUACGUG